AAAACCCCCCCUGUGGUUUCGUGCAUUCUCACUUUGCUACCCUGUGGUUUAAAACGUAUCAAUUUGCCCCCCUGUGGUUUCGUUUUUAUUUUUUUGUUAUCAAUUUUAUUAUUAUUUUUUUUUAAAAUCAGUGACAAAGUUAAAAUUAAAGGAUACUAAAGUGACUAUUCGAUAAAUAUAGAUGGUUAUCUGAAGUUUUUUGUAUAUAAUUUAACAAAAUAUUAACGAAAAAGCUUCCGAAAAGAUAAAAAUGAAAUCACAGGGGGGUAAAUUGAUACGUUUUAGACCACAGGGUAGCAAAGUGAGAAUGCACGAAACCACAGGGGAGGUUUUUAAAGUUUUCCCUUUGUUUAAAGAAGCUGAGACGAGGCGUUUAUAGUUUUUUUUUAAUUUAAAAAAGGCAUAAAAAAACAAUAAAAUAAUAAAAUAAAAUAAUAAAAGAGCACUCAAUUGUAGCCAAUAGGGGCACGCAAAAACCCCGCCACUCGUUAACUAGAGUGGAAUAUUCUACACACAAACCUUUAUAUUACCGCAGCCAAUAAGAAGGCUCCACGUUGCCACAGAGCACGUGGUCUCCACCACACGGCUCUGCCACGUCAGCACAGUCGGCCCCACGAGAUCCCCUCGGGCUCCGCCACGUCAGCACAACUGGCCCCACGAGAUCUUCGAGGACCAACGAGGCCUCCCAGGACGUAACCAGUUAAAGAAACAUUUUUCAAUGGACCGGGUUCACCACGUCAUUAACAAUAUUUUUUAAAAUUUUAGAGGCUCUAAAUAGCUUAAAAUAAAUCUAAAAUUUUGGUAAGCUAUUUUAAUUAGUUAUUAAAUAAUCAUAAGAAUAUAUGGUAUUAAUAUAUCAUUACUGUCACUUAUAAUUCUUUCGUAAUAAUGUAUUAGGCUACACUAAAAUGACUCUUCUCAACUUAUUGUUGUUAUUUUGUUGGAUUGAGAUCUCUUUAGCUUUUGAUUUUGUGAAAUUGAAUAAUAUAUACCUAAUUUAGUUAAAAAUUAGUCUAAUUUUACUUUACUAAAAAAUAAUUAAAAUUAUUACAUUUAUUUUUUUGACUAAAAUUAUUUAAUUUUUUAAAAAAUAAAAGUCGAGUGUUAUGUAAUAACAAGAGUUUAAAGUUGAGAAGGCCAUUUCAAAAUGGCCUGUUGUGGAGGGGCUCUUUAUAAGUUUUUAACUCAUUUUUAAACAUACUAUUUAAAUCAAAUUUAUUUUUUUAUAAUUUGAAUUAAUAAUGUAUGUAGGACAUCGGUCUAUGGUGGACCAUGGUCCAGCAAUAAUUUGUUCCCUUGUUUCCUCACCUUUUCCACACUCUCUCAUCGUCGAGCGUUUUCUGUCUCUCUCUCGAGCUCUCGAGCUCCUCACGGUAACAUCCUGAAGAAACAGGAGAGAGACAAAAGGGGACGGUGAAGUCCCCACCCAAAACCCUAACCCUAGAUCUCGCAUUGGCGGUCGCCAUGGACAACCUCGGCACGGACACGGCGGAGAAGGCGCUCUCCUUCCUCUCCAAGGGGUGGCGCGAGGUGCGCGACUCCGCGGACGCGGACCUCCGCCUCAUGCGCGCCCGGGCGAGCUCCUUCAAGUCCCUCGCCGAUCGCGAGCUCGAGAACCUCCUCCACUCCGCUUCCGCGCUCUCCGCCCCGCCGCGGCCGCUCGCGGCGGCGGCGCCGUCGUCGUCUUCGUCGGCGGCGGCGGCGCCGUCGUCGUCCUCGAUCGCGGAGCUCGAGAUCGUGAAGCGGAUCCGGCCCAAGCUCUCGGAGAUCCGGCGCGUGUACUCGUCGCCGGAGUUUAGCCGGAAGGUUCUGGAGAGGUGGAACCCUAAGGCCUCGAUCCGGAUCGAUCUCUCGGCCAUCAGGAACGCUAUCGUGGCGGAGGUUGAUGAAUUUAGUGGAGUAAUCGAUCUCGUAAGGGAGGGGCGAGAUCGGGAAAGGAGGAGGAGGAGGGUGCGGUGGAAGGGGGAGGAGGGCGAGGAGUGGGAUCUGAUUCGGAAGCUGAAGACGGGUUUGAAGGAGCUCGAGCGCAAGAGCCAAUCGAGUGAGAUUUUGGGGAAUUUAAAGAGCAAUGAGUUCAUGGACAAAGUGAAAUUAAGCUUGGUAAUUUCGCCCUAUCUCCUUACUCUGUUUGCUUUCAUGAUCAUUAAUUAGGGUUUCGGUCGCUAAAAUUACUGAUUAGGUAGAGUAUUUUACUCUUAUUGCACUUAUAAGUUGGGGGUUUUGUUUCUCUUUCCUUAUGCACUAGAAAUUUGCACUUUUGAGGUUUGUAAUUGAGUGUUUGAAGGGGACUUCGGGUAGUCUCUGUUCACUGUAGUUAUUCAUGAAUGCAACACUGGCCUAAUGAGUAAAUAUGGCGGUUACUCGUCUGCUUAAUUGUGAAUUAUCCUGGAUAUCAUCCAUAGCUUAGAUAAAUGUUUAUGUGGUUUCUCAUGUUAAGUAGCCCCAGGAUGCAGAAGUAGCCUGUUUAUGAUUGCUGUAUUAUUAUCUGUGUUACAUGUCUUUUCUCUCAGUUACAUAUCCAAGCUUUGAAUAUUAUAAUUGAGAUAGGAGUUGUUCUUUUUCUUUGAUUGCAGAGAUCAAUCUGUAAGAAGCCUCAAGAAUCCAAGGUUUGUGAUAAACUUAUCUGGAGCUUUUCUUUUUUAUUAUUUUUAUACUAUAUUGAUCUUCCCCGUUUAUGCAAUAAUAUACUAGUCGCAAGAGAAAGCAGACACUAGGUUUUUCUCUCCACUAAUUUGUCUUGAUGAAUCAGACUCCUUUUCCGAACAGUACCUCCUACAAUAACUAAAGAGCGUUUAGUAACAUAAAUAGAUAUUAAUGUGUUUAAUUUUGUCAGCUUUUGAUUUUUACAUCAGUUCUCGUGUCAAUAGAAAUAUCUUUACAAGAAAAGAGAAUUUAAAACGAACUGGAUUUUGCUAUUAUCAUAACUAUUCUAGGUUUGCUAGCUAAAUUAUAAUUUUUAUAUUACGGUGCUUCCUGAUAUUUUAGUAUUGUCGCUACCGAUCUAUCAUUUUCAUGACAAAUUAGGAAAAGCUUGUAGUAAGUAGUUACUAUUGAUCUUAUUGCAGUACCUUCUUGUACUGCUUAAUAUUGAGAUUCUAGUUUUAUGGAUUUUCUAACAUAUUCUUGUGAUCUAAUGCAGGAAGUGCCUCCAUUGGAUAUACCCGAACUUUUGGCUUAUUUUGUUAAGCAAUCUGGGCCACUGUUUGAUCAACUUGGUAUAAGAAGAGGUAUGCAGACAAAACCCUAUUCCUCAGUAAGGUCAUAUUUUUUCACUACAGUUGUAGGACAAGUUGGAUUUCAUUUUGUCUCGUGAAACUACUUUUAUAUAUUCUUCAGUAACUUGUUCAGCAAUGUCAGCUUAUUAUUAGCUGACCAUGAGAAUCCAUGUUUUUCUCCUAAUUCUAUUUCUUACUACAUGAUCAUAAAAAAUGGAACUAUCUUUUUUGCCCGUAGCAUUUCCUUUUGGCAGAUAGAUUUUGGGUUUUGUCAUGGUUUGGUAACAAACCUCAGCUGUAUUAUUAGCUAAACCAAACAUUUUCUGUCGUGUCUCAACCUGAUGAUAACAUGGUGCUUUUUCCCUGUGUUUAUAUUUUAUGUAGAUUUCUGCGACAAAGUAGUGGAAGCCUUGUGCAAUAGGCACAAAGACCAGAUAGUGUGCAAUUCUAUUUCUGCAAGUGAAUUAUCGUUAGUUGGAAAUGAGAACAUUGCCGAUGAGCUCGAUUUAAGAAUAGCCAGUGUGCUCCAAAGCACAGGGCAUCACUAUGAAGGUGGCUUCUGGGAUAACUCAUCAAAACAUGAGAGAUCAGACGAGAAACGACGUGUUGCAAUCGUAACAACAGCAAGUCUUCCGUGGUUGACUGGAACUGCUGUAAACCCAUUGUUUCGUGCUGCAUAUUUGGCUAAAACCACCCAGCAAGAUGUAACCUUGGUGGUCCCUUGGCUUUGCAAGUCUGACCAGGAGCUGGUUUACCCUAACAAUAUAACUUUUAGUUCUCCAGAAGAACAGGAAGCUUAUAUACGGAACUGGCUGGAGGAAAGAGUGGGAUUUACGGCGGACUUCAAGAUCUCUUUUUAUCCUGGAAAGGUAGUAUCUCAGUGCGAUAUUUAAUGUUGUAUUUUGAUAUACAAGAAAUCUACACAUUACUCCUGGACAAUUAUCUAGUUUUAUAAUGUAUCUUUUCAAAAAUUUUGACUUUCAAGUGUGCCUCCAGAAAAACAUUAAAAAUUACCCUAUCAAACAAGCUUUAUACAGUAGAAAACCAGCUUUCUCCCAUGAAUUCAACAGAGUCCCUAACUUAACAUUGGGGAUAAUUUUGUAAGAAACUGCAGUUCGAGGGGUAUAUAUGACAAUUGAGAUUUACAGUGGUGCAUAUGUAGAUAGAUGAUUUGUAGGGGGAUAUAUUUGUGAAAUCACAUUUAAUAUUUUUCCUUUACAUGUAACAUUGACAUUGCAUAUUAUGUCUGAUAAACAGUUUGCAAAAGAAAGGCGAAGCAUUAUUCCUGCUGGGGAUACUUCACAAUUUAUUCCCUCAAAAGAAGCUGAUAUUGCUGUACUAGAAGAACCUGAGCACCUAAACUGGUAUCAUCAUGGAAAGCGUUGGACUGACAAAUUCAAUCAUGUUAUUGGUGUUGUCCACACAAAUUACUUGGAGUAUAUUAGGAGGGAGAAAAACGGGGCCAUUCAAGCUUUUCUUGUUAAGCAUAUUAACAACCUGGUCACCAGAGCACAUUGUCACAAGGUACCAUUUUAAUUAUCCUUUGUUGUUUCUAGUUAACGUGCGAUAGUUGCAGUGGUUUUUUUUGUUGUUUGUGAUAGUUACAUAUCUUGUGGACAUAUUCUAGGCUAUAGUGUAGCCUGCAUCUGGUCACCACGUGAACUUGUGUGCUGCCUAAUGAUUCCAAUUAGAGGCAUAAAAAUCCCUAUUCGAUUCAAAAUGCCAUAAUUACAAAGGUGGACAUAUUAGGAGGGAUGAAGUGAGAAUACAGAGGCCAAAUUAGGCACAAAAGACAAAACUACUAAGCAUUUGUUUUACAUGUUAAAUUUCAUUUAAAUUAAUUUAAAACAGAGGAUGCGACUCGGGGAGGUAAAAUUGGGUUGAAGGCCAAUCCUACCCCAAAACUACACAUGAAACUCGUCUGCGCAGUCCAAAACUGCUGUGGCUUAGUGGGCAGUGCUCGACUGACACGGCACUCCUGAUGCAGACAAUGACUUGUCCUUUUCUAGGGCAUUUAGCAAUGAAAGAUCUAAUAUAAGUCCCUUUAACUAUUGCAGGUCUUGCGUCUUUCUGCAGCUACGCAAGAUCUACCAAAGUCCGUCAUUUGCAAUGUCCAUGGUGUAAACCCAAAAUUCCUUAAAAUUGGCGAGAAAAUAGCAGCUGAAAUGGCGCGAGGGCAGCAGGCGUUUCCCAAGGGGGCAUAUUUUCUCGGGAAGAUGGUGUGGGCGAAAGGUUACAGGGAAUUGAUUGAUUUGUUGGCAAGACACAAGAUGGACUUGGAAGGGUUCAAGAUCGACUUAUAUGGAAAUGGUGAAGAUUCACAUGAAGUCCAAUCCGCCGCCAAGAAGUUGGACUUAAAUGUUAAUUUUCUGAAGGGAAGAGAUCAUGCUGAUGAUUCUCUUCAAGGGUAAGGAAUCGAUAUGGCAUGGGAAAUCAAUAGGUUAAAGCCAUAAGAACUCACUGAAAGUUUGAUUUUGUGCGAAAGAAAAAAAAAAGCAUUUGGUUGACGAAAUUUGAUUUGGUUUUUUUAAGAAAAGGAGAACUCUGAACUCACCGUAACAUCAAGUAGUUGUUGAGCUUUUGUACCAAACCAAACUAUUUGAGCCAAAUUUGAAGGGGACAAAAAGUUGGUGGGGUGUUGAAUUGAAACCAGAAAAUCUAUGUGAAGUUUUAUGAUUUUACCCAAAUCAGAACAUACCACAUUUCCUUUUUCUUCAAAAAUUAUGAUUACGAUUACUUACUCCUUUACUGCAUUUUCAGGUAUAAGAUUUUCGUCAACCCAAGCGUCAGUGAUGUCCUAUGCACCGCGACAGCCGAGGCCCUUGCUAUGGGCAAAUUCGUCAUCUGCGCCGACCACCCGUCGAACGACUUCUUCAAAUCCUUCCCAAACUGCUUAACCUACAAAACAUCAGAAGACUUUGUCGCGAGAGUGAAGGAGGCCAUGGCUCGCGAGCCCCAACCCCUCACCCCUGAGCAGAGACACACCUUAUCGUGGGAGGCCGCGACCCAGAGAUUCGUGCAGUAUUCAGAGCUCGACAAGAUUUUAAAUAACAAUGGGAAACAAACGAACGGUGUAAAAAGAUCGAUUCCGAUGCCGACUUUGUCGGAGGUUGUGGAUGGGGGACUAGCAUUCGCGCAUUACUGUUUCACCGGUAAUGAGAUGUUAAGGUUGGCUACAGGGGCAAUACCCGGCACGCGCGAUUACGAUAAGCAGCACUCUAUGGAUUUGCAUCUAUUGCCUCCGCAGGUACAGAAUCCUCUAUAUGGCUGGUAGUGUGGUAGAUACACUUAUGUGUGUAUAUAUAUUUUGUAGCGUGUAAGUAGUAUUCAUUAGUGAUGUUUAAGUGCUUGUGACUGUUCCGUGUAAAUUUGGUGGUUGUUGUUAAUCUAGUCAAUUAAAAUGUAAUGUAAAUUUUAGCAAAUUUUUUUCUUUUUUUUUUUCUCUCCUUUUUCUACUUCUCAAGUUACGAGUUGGGAAUGGUACACACGCAGUUGUGGUGCAGGUAAUCUGUAAUGGACACUUAUCAUCGCUCUUCAUGUAAUGUACCUACCUCUUAUCAAGAGAACCAAUUUAUCAGAUCAAUGCGCCAUUUAUUUUCGUUGGGCAUUUUGUUGAACCUUAAACACUCUUCGUCUAAAGACGCAAAAGUGUGUUCUCACUUACCAGGACCAUUAUCAAACACCUUGGAAGCAAAACAAUGUACUGUUUGAUAAAUUUUUGAAACAAAUAACGAUGUGGGACUAAAAGGGAAUUGCGUUAAAAAAUUGUUUAAAAUAAAGAAAAACUAAAAUUAUUGGCCCAUGCAGGUCUCGAACCUGCGACCUUCGCGUUAUUUGCACGACGCUCUAACCAACUGAGCUAAUAGGCCAAUUUAUGAAAUUUUAAAACGUAUAGUUAUACUAUAGAAUAAAUAUUUUUGAACAAAAUUAUUUUGAACAAAAUUAUUUUGAACAAAAUUAUUUUGAACAAAAUUAUUUUGAACAAAAUUAUUUUGAACAAAAUUAUUAUUUGUAAAGUUGGUGUAUCGACUUUCAUAGUUUUCAUAUAAUAAAAUUGUAUAGUCUAAUAGCAAUUAUAGCACCAACGUCUUUACUAAUAACAAUUCAUUCGUUCUACAAUUAUUGUAUCAAAAAAGGAAAAAAAAUAUUAUUUUAGUUAAGGAGAAUAAUCUCCAUGCAAAAAAAAAUUAUUUUAGCUGAACCAAAAUAGUGUUGAUACGGCAGCUUGAUCAUAUUCGGUACAUUUGUUACGGUAAUAAUAAUUGUUUUUAGAGAGAUAGAUAGGAUGCUACCCACUUCAUUUAUUUCUUUUAGAAAUAAACUUAGCUGAAAAAAUAAAUCAACUGUGAUUCAAACUUGAGACCUCGGAUACCAACCAUUAAGCUCUUUGCCACUUGCGUCAGGGACGGUCCGUAGUAAUAACAAUUUUGAGUUUUUAAUAUCACUAUCUCAAUCUAAAUUGAUUAACUUGUGGUACUUGUAGAUCCUUAAUUUCUUUUCUUUUUUUUUACUUCUACCUACGGUGUUGGAUCAUUAAGUUUCCAAAAGCUUAAAUUGUUAAAAUAUUGGUUUUAUUUAUUCGUUGCAUCAAAUAGAAUUUACUCAUCAAUAUUUUCAAGAUAAUUGUCACUAAACUGGUGUUUUAACGUGCAUAUAUAAUUUCCCCCUUGAGAGUUAAUUAUCAUACAAUAAAAUAUAUCAUCACACAAUUUAAAUAUGUGUGACAACAUUAUUUAAGACCGAUCGCCCCUAGAGUAGGUGACAAAAGACUUGGGAGUUGAUACUCAAAGAUCCAAGUUCGAAGUGCAGUUGUUUCACAUUUUCAACUAAGUUUUUUUUUAAAAAAAAAAUAAACGAAUCUGGUAACGUGUUAUCUGCCCCUCUCUCUCUCUCUCUCUCUCUUAAAAAAAAAAGAGAAAAAGGCAACACCACUUAAGAAUUUAUAAUUAUUAAAUGACUUAAUUUCUCUAGAUGCAAUUUUCUAAAAAAGUACAAUCUAUAUAUAAUUAUCCAGCUAUAGCUAUAUGUUGUGUCGACAUUUUCAAUCAUAAACUAGGACAUUGUGAAGUGUUCUCCUCUAAAACUAAUUAUUUGUCACCUUCUACAACCUAGUGUUUGGCACUCUAUAUUCUCAGAGCUAUUUUGUGUUUUCAUGCAAAGUCAAUAUAGUUACAGUAUAUGUACAUUAAUUGACAUAUGACAUCUCAAAUCUACAAAGGAAGGUUCAAUUAUAGUUACAGUAUAUGUACAAUUCUACAUUGAUAUAUGACAUCUCAAAUCUAUAAAGGAAGGUUCACUAAAAAAAGAAAAAAAAAGAAAAAGAAAAAGAAAAAAAAAAAAGUUCUAUACAUUAAACAAGGGUUUUCAAAUUUGUUAACGAGCUAGUACUGCUAUAUACACGAAAUGAUGCUUUUAAAAUUUUUCAUAAAUUUCUUUUUAAGAUUUUUUUUUUUUUUGUUUUUGUUGAUUCGUAAAAAGUAUAAUUGAAUAUAUAAUUGGUUUAAUUAGUCUCAGUGUAAAAACUGUAUCCUUUUAUUUUAAUAAAACGGUCGUUUCUAUACAGUAGCUGAGCUAAAUUGCUGUCACGACUUUUAAAGCUGGCACCAUAUUAUAAACAAAUUUAUCUAAUAUUUUUUAUUUUUAUACUUAGAAAAAAAAAAGUUGGCACCAUCUAGUUUAGGUGAAAUAUUAUUAAUUUAUUAAAUAGGCGUGCAAACAUAUAUUAUUGGCCUAAUCGAGUUGUGGCCUUUCCCAAUCUACUAGAACCUUUACAUAAGGGACAAUUUUAUUUUUAUUUUUAUUUCAUUUUUAUUUGUUUAACCUUUUCCUUUUUACGUACACUGACAAAAAGCUGUUCCUCGCAAGUACAAUAUUCUUCUUGUGGUAUUAUAAUACUAUUUAAAAAAUUACACUGUUGAUAAUCAGUGAUAAAAUAUAUAUAUGUUUUUUUUAAAAAAAUUGGGUCAUUACGAUUUCAAAACUAUGUUUCGAUUUCUCAAAGUGAAGAAAUUUGGUUAUGACUGUUUAAUUUUAAAAAAAAAAAAAUUAAAUUAGAAAUAUAAAACAACUAGGUAUUGAUCAACAUUAGAAUUUUAAAUAUUAAUCAUCAAAUUCUUAGUUAAUUGUGUUACAUACGGACGUUAAAUAAUAACAACUUAAUUAAGAACGAGCAAAAAAAUAUUAAAAGAUAUCUGUAUUAAUUAAAAUUCUCAUCACUAGCUAGAUCUCAUACUUAAGGCUCAGAUACUAUUACAUAAAACCUAUGGACGAAGAAAAAGGAAAUAAAAAACUAAAACCUACUUCCAUGCACGUACGUGUAAUGGUAUAAUAAUACAAUAAUAUUUAAGAAGAUGAUCGAUCCCUUCUAUCAACUCUCAAAAAACAAACAAACAAAAAAACAAAAAAUAUGACCACGAAAAACAAUCUCUUCAUGUAGAUCAAAAUUAAUUACUCACGACACUCGACAACGUUCCCCUUCUCAACCUCAUGAUCAAACGUGAUCGUCGAUGAAAGCGUCGACAACGGCGAACCAGAAUCCGAACCCGAACGCAAACCCGAAAUUAACUGCGAAACCGAAAUAGAAGAAGCAGAAGCGGAAGCGGAAGCGGAAGUGGAGACUAAGCUCACGAGGAGAUCCACGAAGGCCCCCACAAUGAAUGCGUGCGUUUUUUGACCGUUCACUUUUAAAUACCACGUGAGCAGUUCCUCGAGCCCCUCCCAGUCGCUAACCGCAUGCGCCACCACCAUCUCCUCCAUGGACGCACGGAAAUCUCUAUACGGGUCCGUUGACUCCACGAUCAACGCCACGCUCUCCUCGAACGGCGCGCCCGCCGAGUCAGCGUUGACUUCCCCCUCCUCCUCCUCCUCUCUCUUCUCCAUGCUAUUGUCUACAUCGUCGUUGUCGUCGUCAUCGUUGUUGUUAUGGUUGUUGCGACGUGCGUGCACAAUGGACCGGGUCGUGGCGCCCGGUUCGAAGAAGAGCCGGUCGGACCGGACCCGGACCGGGACCGGGACCAGUGCUUCGUGAGUCGGGCCGGGGAGUAGGCUCUCGGUGUCAUCGGAGGCGGUGGAGUAGGCGGUGUUGUCGUAGACCGAGUUUGCGGUGUUGUAGAUGGAGGCGGCGGCGGAGGCGGCGUGGGCGCGAAAGGAGUUGGUUUUUGGGUGCUUGCAUGAAGAAGGCCAUGGCCAUGAAGAAGGUGGAGGAGGGUAGCAAAAGUAGUAUUUGUUGUAAGAGGAGGAGGAAGAAGAAGAGGAGGAGGAGGAGGAGGAGGAGGAGGAGGAGGAGGAGGGUCUUGGGUUGUCUCUUAGCUUGAAGAGGAGAGAGCUCAAGCCCCUCUUGCCCAUUAAAAAUGGCUUCUUCUGCUUCUGCUUCUAGCUUUGGAUUAGCUUGUGAAGGAGAUCGAAAUGGAGGAGGUGGUGGAAGUGGAGGAGGAGAGAGUGGGAAUGUAGAAAUGGAGAGAGAGAGAGAGAGAGAGAGAGAGAGAGAGAGAGAGAGAGAGAGAGAUUAGGUUAGUGUUGUUUUGAUGGGGGGUUUUGUAUUUAUAAAGGGAGAGGACGGUGGAGGGGAGGGAAUAGCUAAUGAGAGAAAGAGAAGGGGAUUAUGGGGAGAGUGGGAGAAAUUCUUGCAUGGACCUGGUUUACCAUGUCAUCGGUUGACUGGAUAAACCCUCAUUUGCAUCAUUAUGUUCUACUACACUAUACUAUAGUUUUUCAUCUGUUAAAGAAGAUAACUUUUAAAUAUCAAAAAACUAUAGUUCGAUUAAGUGACGAAGAUUGAUUGGAAGAAGCACUACAAGACAAUAUAAUUAACUAUACAAGAAAAUAUAAUUACCACCUAUCACUUUUUAGUUUUUUUUUAAGUUAGUCUUUCUGCUCUUGUCGAUCUAUUCUUUUUCUUGACUUUUUACUGUCAUCGAGAUCUUAUUUGUCUUACUUCAUGUAGCUAAAUUUAUUUCUCUAAUGAAUAAAGCAGAUAGUGUGCUAUCUUUCUCUCUCUCAAAAAAAAAAAAAAGCAGACGAAAUUAUAUGACAAUGCGCGCGAUCGAACAUGACGCGUAAUUAUUGAGAAUUCAAAAUCGAUGUGAUAAAAAGUAAUAUGUUUAAUUGAUCUAUAAAUUGAUAUAUGGCUAAACACAAGAUCCAUAUAUGUUUGGUGGACUAUGUACACACAAUUACAAUUCUCAUGUAAGCAUUGAACAAAGUGAUAUAAGGGGUGGAAUAACCCCUUAACCCCCAUUUUAUCCCCAAACGCUCCAAAAAAUAGGUGGGGUUAGCUAACCCUACCUAACCCCACCUCAAAUAAAUUAUUCCGGGUUAGCUAACCCCACCUAACCCCACCAAACUCCAACCAAAUACUAUUUUCUAUUCAUAAUAACCCACUAUCUUUUUUAUCACACCUACUCCAAUCAAUCAUUAUCCUUCUUUAUCAAUCAUUAUCUUGUUAUCCUACCUACUCCAACCAAACACUAUUUUUUAUUAUUCUAGAUUAACUCCAACCCCCAACCAAACAUAAAAAAACUUUAACUCCGAACUUAACUCUAUCCCUAGAAUAGCUAUUUUUUUCUUAACCCCGAACCAAACGGAGACAUAGAGAAUUCAAUUUCUCAUUUAAUAAACGCAUUGAAUGUUGUGUGCAAAUGGAGAGCAGUGAUGUAGUGUUCCCUUUCCUUGUGUUUGUUUGGAAAAGUCUCAUAUGUUUGGCAAGAAUUGGAAUGAUGGGGAGUUGAUAAAUCAAUCUUAUCAUGUUCAGGCUCUCCACCACUUUGGUUUUUAUUUCACUUUUUUUAUAAGGGGAUUGCAAUAUUUAAUUAAUUAAGUCGAUCAUCUUUUAAACAUACUAUAUUAAAUAAAAAAAAAACAAAUCAUUUUGCUUUGCAAGUUACUACUAGCAUUUGGCAUGCUUGUGUAUUUCACCUGACACAUAAAAACAGCAGCAAAAUGUGGGACGGCUUCAACUGCAUACAAGAACAAAAUUUGAAUUUAUAUACAAACUGUUGGAUGUGUGAUUUGCUCUGAUACUAAGGGGUUGUUUGGUUGUAUGCAUUUCCAACUGCAUUGCAGUUGGAAAUGCAUGCAUCUAUUAAUUUUUUGUUUGGUUUGGUGUAGUUAGACCGAACUGAUGCAGUUGCAUCUGCACGAGAAGGCCCAACUGCAGCAGUUGGUACUGCAGCCAAAUUGACCGUAGUACCAACUAUAACAGUUGAGCCGGAGUCGGCUCACCCAUUAAAAAAAUAAACAAAGUGUGAUUUUUUUUUCAUACACUUCUUUUUUCUUUUUUUUUUUUUUCAAAAAUACAUAUUCAUUUAUUUUGAACAAAUUCAUAAUAUAUUUACAUUUAAGAUUUAUUAAAUUCAUAUAUAAUUUUAUAAUAUAUAAAUUAUAUAUAGAUAUAAAAGUUUUAAUUAAUAUUUAAAACAUGAUUACGUUAUGCUCAGAAGAGGUAAUCUUACAUUUCUAUAUAAAAAUUGAUAGAAUUUACAAAUACAAAUCUCAACUGCAGCCUACCAAACAGAGGAAAUGUAACCGCAGCAGUUGCAACUGUAUAAAACCAAACAGACUAGGUGUAGUUAUAACUGCAGCAUUUGUAACUGCAUGCAUUUCCAACUACACUGUUUCUACAACUACAUCCAACCAAACGGCCCCUAAUUAGUGAAACUGGUAUUUGUACUGAUAUCGAAUAUAUAAUCCAAAAUUUAAAUAAAACAAAAUAAUAUAGAGAAGAGAUAUUGUGCGGAAAGGAGAAAACUAAAUUAAUACUUUAUUAAUAAAAAGUAAUUAAUUACAUUCUGUGCAACACCCAUGCAGCUAUGUCUACUGUGAUUUUUUCAUCUAAUUAAUCCAUACCUAACUAUAUAUACCUAUCAAGUCCAACUUUUACUUUGGAUAAUUAUAAAUCCUAUUCUAAUUAUGUAAACUUUUAAAUAUAAUCAAUGUAUAAAUUGAAUAUACUCGUAGUUGAGAUGGGUUAUUUUCGGAAGUACGAAUAAAUAAUAUUGAAACAUAGCGAAAUUUAAAUUAUUUUCAAAAGAUUUUAAAUCUAGUUUAAUAAAUGAUGAGUUGAAAAUCUUAUCAUCAAAAACAACUACAUUCCUGCUUCUAAAAGCACUCUUUCUCGUAUACAUAGGACAACAACCUAUUCCCAAGGAGAUGUCACCAAUCUUAGCACUUAAUUAAUUAAUCAUCAACAUUGCUUUAAGAUUCGAACUUGUCGCUUUACGUAACCAGUUAAAUUAAUACUAUGUGAUGGGAGUGUAUCUUUGGAGCAAGUAGCUAGUGUGGCUUUUUCGAUGCAACGAAGCAAAAGAGAAUCCAAGGGAGCAUGAUAUUCAUUUCUUAUGGUACACUGUCUCUAGUUAGGUAUAUAUUUCCUGUNGAUAUGUUGUGUCGACAUUUUCAAUCAUAAACUAGGACAUUGUGAAGUGUUCUCCUCUAAAACUAAUUAUUUGUCACCUUCUACAACCUAGUGUUUGGCACUCUAUAUUCUCAGAGCUAUUUUGUGUUUUCAUGCAAAGUCAAUAUAGUUACAGUAUAUGUACAUUAAUUGACAUAUGACAUCUCAAAUCUACAAAGGAAGGUUCAAUUAUAGUUACAGUAUAUGUACAAUUCUACAUUGAUAUAUGACAUCUCAAAUCUAUAAAGGAAGGUUCACUAAAAAAAAAAAAAAGAAAAAGAAAAAGAAAAAAAAAAGUUCUAUACAUUAAACAAGGGUUUUCAAAUUUGUCAACGAGCUAGUACUGCUAUAUACACCAAAUGAUGCUUUUAAAAUUUUUCAUAAAUUUCUUUUUAAGAGAUUUUUUUUUUGUUUUUGUUGAUUCGUAAAAAGUAUAAUUGAAUAUAUAAUUGGUUUAAUUAG
rnacentral:lncRNA from 1 species